rnacentral:rRNA from 1 species
AGACAGAGGUGGCAAGCGUUGUUCGGAUUUACUGGGCGUAAAGAGCAUGUAGGCGGUUAGAUUAGUCAGUUGUGAAAUCCUAUGGCUUAACCAUAGAAUUGCAUCUGAUACUGUCUAGCUAGAGUGCAGGAGAGGAGAGUGGAAUUUCCAGUGUAGCGGUGAAAUGCGUAGAUAUUGGAAGGAACACCGGUGGCGAAGGCGGCUCUCUGGUCUGUAACUGACACUGAGAUGCGAAAGCGUGGGUAGCAAACAGGAUUAGAAACCCGAGUAGUCC